rnacentral:lncRNA from 1 species
UGGCAAGUCACUACAUCAUCCCACAGUCACAUUUUAGCAUAUGGGUCUAUAGCACCCAUAUAUUUCAUAUGAUGCUAUACAAUCUUGCUGUUGUAUGACAUUAAAACUAAUGAGGCACCACCACAUUAUCACAUGCUGGCAAGCAUUACCACAUAGGCCUCAUUAAUUGCAAACCAUGACUUACGUAUAUCUUAAUGUGCUCGUGAAGUAGCGUCCCACGAGUGGCCAUGUCAAGUUGUAAAAGAGAUCAUCAUCUCGGCACUGUCCAACUAUUCGAC